AUUGAACGCUGGCGGAAUGCUUUACACAUGCAAGUCGAGCGGCAGCGCGGGGGCAACCCUGGCGGCGAGCGGCGAACGGGUGAGUAACAUAUCGGAACGUACCCCGUCGUGGGGAUAACACAGCGAAAGCUGUGCUAAUACCGCAUACGACCUGAGGGUGAAAGCGGGGGAUCGCAAGACCUCGCGCGAUGGGAGCGGCCGAUAUCGGAUUAGCUUGUUGGUGAGGUAAAGGCUCACCAAGGCGACGAUCCGUAGCUGGUCUGAGAGGACGACCAGCCACACUGGAACUGAGACACGGUCCAGACUCCUACGGGAGGCAGCAGUGGGGAAUUUUGGACAAUGGGGGCAACCCUGAUCCAACCAUUCCGCGUGAGUGAAGAAGGCCU
rnacentral:rRNA from 1 species